rnacentral:rRNA from 1 species
GACGAACGCUGGCGGCGUGCCUAAUGCAUGCAAGUCGAACGCACUGCCUUCGGGCAGUGAGUGGCGCACGGCUGAGGAACACGUGGGAAUCUGCCCGACCGUGGGGAUAACACGCCGAAAGGCGUGCUAAGCCCGCAUACGCUCGCAAGAGGAAAGCGGCAACGCGCGGUCGGAGGAGCCUGCGGCCCAUCAGGUAGUCGGCGGGGUAACGGCCCACCGAGCCGGUGACGGGUAGCUGGUCUGUGAGGACAGACAGCCAGACUGGGACUGAGACACGGCCCAGACUCCUACGGGAGGCAGCAGCAAGGAAUUUUCGGCAAUGGGCGCAAGCCUGACCGAGCAACGCCGCGUGGAGGACGACGGCCUUCGGUUGUAAACUCCUUUGUCGGGGACGGAUUGUGACUGUACCCCGCGAACGUCAGGCUCGGCUAACUCUGUG